AGUGGUACAGGGCUGUGAUAUGGUUUGGAUGUCUGUCCCCUUCAAAUCUCAUGAUGAAAUGCGAUCCCUAAUAUUGGAGGUAGAGCCUGGUGGGACCUGACUGGAUCAUGGGGGCAGAUCCCCAGGAAAGGCUUAGCGCCACAUCGCCUAGGUGAUGAAAUGAAAUGGGUCAGCAUCUGACAUACUGCAUAAAUCACUGAACCAAUAUUUUCUAAAUGUAACAUGCAUGAUGGUACAAAAUCACACAUAGACCAUCCUGGCCUGUCAAGCCCCCAUCCUGUGCGUAUAAAAACCCCGAGACCCUAGCAGACAGACAUGCAGGCAGCUGGACGUCGAGAGGAACACUCUGGUGGAAGAACACCCAAACAGACAUCAGCAGAAGCCGGUAGACGCUGGCAGGCUGACCAGCUGAACGAUGCGGAGUUUGGCCAGGGUGGUUGGAGGGGAGCCCAGCCACUGGGCAGCCCUACUCCGGAGGAAAACCACUUUCCCAAUCCAUUCCCUUCUGGCUCCCCCGUCUUCUGAGAGCUACCACCACUCAAUAAAAACCCUUGCAGCCAUCCUCCAA
rnacentral:lncRNA from 1 species